GCUCCGGUAGCCAAGUGGUUAGAGCGUCCCCAUCUUAUGCGGGAGGUCGUGGGUUCGAUCCCCUGUCGAGUCA